CAUAACCUCCACACCUGUAGGAUCAACUGACAGCAUUUCCCCAUCAUGGGACAUGUCGUCUUUUGCAGCAACUGCACCAGCCUCAUUUUCAAAGUCUGGUUCACUUUCACCUCCCUGGUUCACUUUUGAUGAAGAUUCAAGUGUGUUGAGAGCUUCACCCUCCAAAUGUGUUCUAGUCAAUUCAACAGCCACAUUGUCACUCCUAACACUAACUUCAUCGGUAGAACUACCAUUGACUGGUUGCUCCGUUUUCAACUUCUCAAAGCAAUCAAUAAUUUCAUGCACAGCACGAAUAAAAUCAGCACCUUUUCCACGACGCUUAACAAAAAGAGACUGUUUCUUAUCCUCAGUAAAUGCUUCGACAUCCACAGGAUUGCAGAAGGCUAUUUGUUGGGUCCCAAAAAAGUAAACUAACACUUUCUUCCGGUCUCUGGAAUAACCCCACUUCUCUGGCUCGCUCACCGUUGCAGGCCAAGCUGGAAACCCUUUAACCUUAGCAAGCACAAGAUCACCGACUUUCCACUGACGACAAGCUGCAGCAGCCGCCGCCGCUUUACUUGUACCUUUUCUUCGACUGGGCGCCAUAGAAGCUUAGAACUAAUCAAAGCAGCUAUGCACGCUCUACAAAUAG
rnacentral:misc_RNA from 1 species